rnacentral:lncRNA from 1 species
AAUUCAAAUAUGAAAUUUAAAUUUUAAAUUUUAAAUUUAAUAAGAGGAGUAAUAUUAUCAUUUUUCAUUUAUUACUAUCUAUAAUUCUUACCGACCGUCCCUAGCACAAGUGGCAAAAAGGCUUGAUGGCUGGUACGCGAGAUCUAAAUUUGAAUCCUAGUUGAUUCAUAUUUCCAGCUACGUUUAUUUCUAAAUGAAAUAAACAAAGCAGGUAGCCUGCUACCUUUCUCUCCCAAAAAAACAAAAAAAACUAUCUAUAAUUCUUUUUAUUCUAUUUUAUCUAUUCAAACGCUAUAUUUUUUCCUAUAAAAAAUAAUUCAAUUUUUAUCCAAACGUAAAAUUAGUCUGCUUCUUGCUUAUAUCUGAACUUGCAUCUAACUCUGAAAUAAGUUAUUUGUUACAGUUUACACCACAAAUCCAAUUAACCUUUUAUACAUUUCAAAUUUUAAGUCC